UUGACGGGACCCGCACAAGCGGUGGAUGAUGUGGUUUAAUUCGAUGCAACGCGAAAACCUUACCCACCUUUGACAUGGCAGGAAUCCUGAAGAGAUUUGGGAGUGCUCGAAAGAGAACCUGCACACAGGUGCUGCAUGGCUGUCGUCAGCUCGUGUCGUGAGAUGUUGGGUUAAGUCCCGCAACGAGCGCAACCCUUGCCAUUAGUUGCUACGAAAGGGCACUCUAAUGGGACUGCCGGUGACAAACCGGGAGGAAGGUGGGGAUGACGUCAAGUCCUCAUGGCCCUUAUAGGUGGGGCUACACACGUCAUACAAUGGCCGGUACAGAGGGUAGCCAACCCGCGAGGGGGAGCCAAUCCCACAAAGCCGGUCGUAGUCCGGAUCGCAGUCUGCAACUCGACUGCGUGAAGUCGGAAUCGCUAGUAAUCGCGGAUCAGCAUGUCGCGGUGAAUACGUUCCCGGGUCUU
rnacentral:rRNA from 1 species